GCCCUGCUUAAGACAGCAGCAGGAACAUGAAGCUGACUGAACACCAGGCCUGCUCCCGGUUCUGGACCGUGCACUGCCUGGUUCUGCUGCCGCUCCCCGGGCUUGAUUUCCUAGCAUCUGAGUUGUGGUGGUGAUAGCAAGUUUGUCUUUUGCUGCUGAUCUUCCAGUAUCCUGACCUGGCUGACUCUCCACUCCUGUCAUGGCUCCCCAUCCAUCCUGGAGCUGCACACCAGAUGGGAGCUGAUGGAUUGUCCUUGGUGGGCCAUGUUCUUGUGUGUGAUGAGGGCCAGGAGCAGAUGCACCACGCCUGGCCAGGACCGGGCUAAACAGCCUGUAAUGCUAGACAGUCAGCCAGUGAGGCCAGUUUGCAGAAUGUGGAAGAGCCCUUUGGCGAGGCAUUGGAGGAUUCCCCAUGAAGGUGGCAGCAGCGGCAGUGCCUGGGGUCCCUAUGGGCCAAGCCUCAACUCCUGCCAAUCCAGGCUAAUCUCCCCUGCUUUCAGCAGCGCUUGGCUUUAGCUGCUGGGCCUGUGAGCCUAGACCAGGGGUCUCAAACUCAAAUGACCACGAGGGCCGGCUGAGGACUAGUUCAUUGGCCCGAGGGCCGCAUC